UUUCUGAAGCAUACUACGUCGUUCGUAUAGGCGAUAUAACUGACGGUCCGCACCGUCAGAGAGAAUGAUGUGUUGCUAUAGUAACGGCGCCAAACAGCCGACGUAAUGACAGGCGAACGCAUAGGCAGGAAAGAAUAAAAUCAGACAUCCCAGGGGAGUUUCCGGGACUCCUCUUCCAGCUGUGGGACUCCACGAUUGUCGCCACAUCCUCAAACCUGAUUUGUCAGAUGGUGCCGAUUCAUUUUCUAUAACAGCUCAUUCGCAGGGACGUGUACAGCAGACGCACCACAUAAACAUGUUAAAAAAUAGUUUUCCGUAAGGAGAAAUGUGUUUAUUGAACGUGUACGGAAGGAGUCUCCAGUGUCAGCGCUUCGUAACAGUCGGAGGUAACAUGGCACGAGGGAACAGCUGUUUAUAGCCGCUAUAAAGUAAGUGAGAACAGGAACAAACUCGUUUCACAUUUCGCAACCUCACACUCUUAGAAAUAAAAAAGAACCAAAAAGGGAUUUUUUUUUCCAGCCAGAUGCCAUAGGAGAAGCCUUUUAAAUCGGAAAAAAAAUAACCUUUUACUCUUAAAUUCUUUAAAGAGCCAUCUAUUUACUGGUGCUUUAAAGAACCCAGAAAUGGUUCUUCACAGCAGUGCCACAAGGAACCAUGCUAUCAUAAGUUCUCUUAAAACCCUUAUUAGUGCUUUAAAGAACCAAAAGGAAGGUUCUUAAGCGUGAUGCCUGCCAGGAGAACCUUUUCCAGUCCCACAAAGAACCUUAUAGUGUUCACUUUAACCUGUGAAGCGAUGGCACCUUGAAGGACCUAUAACGAACCAUAAAGAACUUCUUUAACCUCGAAAGAACCAUACAGCUCAACCCAAGAAGCCGAUACAAUGAAAAAAGGUUCGUGACAAGAAGAAGGUUCUUUACAGAACCUACGGUGCUGAAGAACCUUUAUAUUUUUAAGAGUGUAAAUGUAACUAUAAACGAAUAAAAAAAAUACAUUAACAACUGUCAUUGUUGAUAAACUGCUGUGGUAUAAGAGGAAUAAAACACCUGGGGUAACUCCGCUUCAUCGCACCACCUCACCGUUGAUUAUUUUACACUAACGGAACAACACCGAGUGCUUUAUUCCUUAUCUAGUCCCUUCACCUUGAUUACAAACUUUUUAUUAGUUAAUAAUGGGUGGAGAGAAGAUUUCCUCGAAAUGAUAGGGCUGAAGAUUUGUGUGAGAGAGAGACACAGAGAGAGAGAGAGAGACAGACAGACAGAGAGACAGACAGAGAGCCCGCUCUGAUCAGGCCAAAGAGGAAAUAAAUGCGACGUAAAAAGCAAAGCCGUCGAAUUGUAAAUAAUCUGCACCGAGAUGAGGACGGACAACCGCAGGCAAUGGAGGGGGCGGGUGGCUCUAUGCGUGUGUGUGUGUGUGUGUGUGUGUGUGUGCACGUGUGUAAGUGUCACAACAGAAAUCAGCACUUCUGCAACACUGGAUCUGGCCUGGUCGGUCAAGCAGAAAGAAACGAUUCCCGGCUCACAAAGUGAAAUCGUACAUGUCGAGUGGAGGUGCUAGCACGGAAAGGCCUCGGCCAUCGAGUCCACGGAGAUCCGACGGAGGGAAAGUGAGAAAGACGGAGGAGGAACAUCCAAGAGUCAAAAAACCAGGAAGAAGCAAGAUUUUGGUGUAAUAUGGAGUUUACGCGUGAAGCCGAACGGCCGAGUCGUGAUCCAGCGUGGAGCUGGACGGAUUCGGCAGGAGAAUGAGAGAGCAGAUCCGAGUAGUGCUGCCGUGAAGGUUAAAGUAAGACGUCACGUCCAGCAAGUCAUAACGUGAGCACCGAGGAAAGAGUGGAGGAAGGACACAAGUGAAGCAACAGGAACCGUUUCAGUCUCAUCAGUGUUGAGAAUUUUAUUUUAUUUUUUUAAAGUUAUUCCUCAUCCAGGUCUACAUUCUCAGAAAGGAUUAAAGGUGGAUAAUGAAUAGAGCUAGCGCUGUGAGUGAACAUUACCAUGUCAAAUCAGUUUACGUCCUCGCCAAGCAUCCCUGAUGUAGGCUACAAAAGUCCCUCGGCUUUCUUCUCACCAAACAUACGAUUAAAUAACAUUUCUGCGUG